AUUGAACGCUGGCGGCAGGCCUAACACAUGCAAGUCGAACGAGUGGCGGACGGGUGAGUAAUGUCUGGGAAACUGCCCGAUAGAGGGGGAUAACUACUGGAAACGGUAGCUAAUACCGCAUACCAUCGGAUGUGCCCCGAUGGGAUUAGCUGGUAGGUGGGGUAACGGCUCACCUAGGCGACGAGCCAUAGCUGGUCUGAGAGGAUGACCAGCCACACUGGAACUGAGACACGGUCCAGACUCCUACGGGAGGCAGCAGUGGGGAAUAUUGCACAAUGGGCGAAAGCCUGACGCAGCCAUGCCGCGUGUAUGAAGAAGGCCUUCGGGUUGUAAAGUACUUUCAGCGAGGAGGCGUUACUCGCAGAAGAAGCACCGGCUAACUCCGUGCCAGCAGCCGCGGUAAUUC
rnacentral:rRNA from 1 species